rnacentral:rRNA from 1 species
UGAAACUCAAAGGAAUUGACGGGGACCCACACAAGCGGUGGAGCAUGUGGCUCAAUUCGAGGCUACGCGAAGAACCUUAUCCUGGGCUUGACAUGUGCGAAAGCGGUAGGAAGUAGGCAGCGGAAACGUUCGCCCAACGGUAUCCAGUCCGGAACCUACUACAGGUGCUGCAUGGCUGUCUUCAGCUCGUUUCGUGAGAUAUCGGGUUAAGUCCCAUAACUAGCGAAACCCUUGCUUCUAGUUGCCAGCGCGUCAUGGCGGGGACUCUAGAAGGACUGCCGGUGUUAAUCCGGAGGAAGGCGGGGAUGACGUCAAGUCCUCAUGGCCUUUAUGCCCAGGGCUACACACGUGCUACAAUGCGGCCGACAGAGGGACGCAAACCCGCGAGGGGGAGCCAAUCUCAAAAAAGCCGCUCAGUUCAGAUUGAAGCUGCAACUCGCCUUCAUGAAGCUGGAAUCGCUAGUAAUCGCGGAUCAGCAACGCCGCGGUGAAUGUGUCCUGAGUCUUGUACACACCGCCCGUCAAGCCACGAAAGGGUGGAGCACCGAAUUCCCC